CUUAUAUUUUCUAGCAAAUGCACAUACAGGACUUCUGGCAAGUUCCAUAUAUACUUAGGUCACUAUAGUACGAUAAUAUCAGCACUCCAUCAUCAUGGCACCCCGGGGGCCGCUUCCUGACUCGAAAGGAGGACCGAAGGGUGAGCCGAUAAUGUCAAUGCGGCUUUUCUCGCGUGUUUUGAGUGAACCACACGCUGUGCGUUGAGUGCCUCUAAAUACAACCUAUUUACUCACCGCACCGCCUACAGGACGUCUUGGGGAGAAAUGACUAUUAUACCACUUUAACAAGACUCGCUGGUUCCUUUGAAACUGUGUGGAUGGGGUUCGCCGCACUGUUCCCUUUGAUUCCCGU